GUGUUGGUCCUGAGAUGCCAUCAACUAGAUGAAUACCAAGUUCUGAGGAUGGAAGGGGAUAAUCAAAAAAAGGUUCAUGAUUGUUGAAGACUUCUGUCCUGAUGUUUGGCUGUAGUCCUUCCAUCAUCCACUCUUCUGCAACCGGUCUAUUUAUGGAGACCACCAUGAUCUAAUCUAUACAGAUCUAGUUGUCUCUUCUCCCACAAACUCCUCUUUCAGAUUUUGAGCGGAUCUCCUUCAUUCUGCCGCCAGCUCACCAGAACCUCUGGGUGCACCAGCUGUGGAUAUUACAGGCCAAACUUUGGUUUUCACAUUGUUUGGAGGACAAAAUCGGGCAGGAUGUAGGGGCCCACAGUUUGGGCACACAUACACAGUUCAUCUUUGGACACCCUAGGACAACAUCCUUAGCACAGAUCUACCUAUAGCCCUCCAUCAUUCCCACAUCCAUCUUGCAACAGUUUCAUUAAGUGCAGUCCAUAACCAGUUCACGGUCUACACCUUGUCCAUUGCAAAUGUUAUGGAUUAUUCUAAUAGAGAUCUUUCUAUUA